UACGUAGGUGGCAAGCGUUGUCCGGAAUUAUUGGGCGUAAAGCGCGCGCAGGCGGUCCUUUAAGUCUGAUGUGAGAGCCCACGGCUCAACCGUGGAGGGUCAUUGGAAACUGGGGGACUUGAGUGCAGAAGAGGAAAGCGGAAUUCCACGUGUAGCGGUGAAAUGCGUAGAUAUCGAUCGGAACACCCGUGGCGAAGGCGGCUUGCUGGCUCGCAACUGACGCUGAGGCGCGAAAGCGUGGGGAGCAAACAGG
rnacentral:rRNA from 1 species